rnacentral:rRNA from 1 species
UACGUAGGUGACAAGCGUUGUCCGGAUUUACUGGGCGUAAAGCGCACGUAGGCGGACUCUUAAGUCGGUGGUGAAAUCCUGGAGCUCAACUCCAGAACUGCCUUCGAUACUGAGAGUCUCGAGUCCGGGAGAGGUGAGUGGAACUGCGAGUGUAGAGGUGAAAUUCGUAGAUAUUCGCAAGAACACCAGUGGCGAAGGCGGCUCACUGGACUGGUAUUGACGCUGAGGUGCGAAAGCGUGGGGAGCAAACCGG